GUUACAGGGUGGAAGGGGUCUUAAAGAAAGGGGAUAAUUAGAAUAGCUUUACUUACUCACAAGAUAGGAAGAAAACAUUUCCCUUUAUAUUUUUUAAGUGGUCAAGCCUUCUGUUUUCGCAUCAAAAAGCGACCAACGUCGUUUUAAAGCGUCUGUCAACAGGAAAAUACAUGUGUGUAAAUGCAGAGAGAACUGUGGCGAAUAUCUUUGAUACAUUGGAGAUAAGGAAGGUGAUGGCUCUAGCAACGAGUCUCGAUCCAAAGUAUUGUUGGCUAAGCUUCAGAGGAAGGCCAAAGUCGAGGAGCAACAGAGCUUGGCAUGUCAAGGGGAACACAAGUCAAAAACAAUAGUUCAGAAUGACAGGGACACCUCUGCGAAGAAGAAAAUAAAAAACAAGGGAGACAACCUCGAGGAGACAAAACACCCAAAGAAGAGGAAAGAGCAAGUAAACCAACAUGUCUCCUCCACCUGACCCUGAAGAACUUUCCAAAGGUGAUAAUGCAUGCAAAGAAGAAAAAUGCUACAAAAAAUAUACAACUAACAGAAGACAAAGAUGGGAUGAUUUUGAGAAAAAGAUUAUUCAAAAGGUACAAAGAGUCCUGCCCCAGUGGCUUACUGAGCCAGAUGUGAUCCAGAGAGAUAUUACAAGCAACCUAGUCCCCAUCAGUGAUGUCCCAGGAAUUUGUACUAGACUGCAACGGGAAUUGGAGGGCAAUGGAAUUCAGCAUCUCUUUCCAGGCACUGAUGGAGCGAGGUUUAUGUGACAUCCGGGUUUUGACAGUGUUGCCCACCAAAGAGCUUGCACAGCAGGUUUGCAAAGUAUUCAGUUCAUAUGCGGAGGGCACCAGCUCUAAAGUGGUUAUAAUCGCUGGUCCAAAUUUUUCUGCCAAAGAGCAGGCAUCGGUCUCUGAAACCCAGUCAAGACACAUCAAGGUCUUUCUUCCUUGAGGUGGAACAAGCCACAGUUUGGCAGACAUUGUUGUCGCAACCCCUGGGAGACUGGUUGAUCACAUCAAUAAGUUUGGAACACCUCCGCUUCCUUGUGGGUCACUAAUACAAAUCAUUGAUGAGGCAGACCGGAUGAUUGACAGCAUGCACCAGUCUUGGCUCAGUCAGAUGACCAAGGCAGUUUACAGAUCCAAGAGGGAUUCUGAAGCAGUCUAGAUCUUCAAGAGGACAGAGCCUGCACUUAUCACUGCAGCGAGCUUGUCAACACCUCAGAUGCCUCUAACGGAAGCUCCUGUUCUCAGCCACACUGACUCAGAAUCCAGAGAAGUUGCAGCAACUAGGCCUGCAUCAGCCCAGACUCUUCAGCUUGGUUCAUAGUCAGUCAACGACCCCACCCUAAGUCUCAAGAGAGGUUCAACUUCCCCCAGGGCCUGACAGUUCUUUACCCCAAAAAAAUAUUGCAAUAGAUUUUUUAUUUAUCCUAUAUCCCAGAGCAAUGUGUUACUGUGGUCUCUUUUUUUGGAGAGUACUAUGUGCCCUGCACUUUGAGUAAGAGGCCCCUCCUCAUCCUCCAUUUCAUACUGUGCCUGAAGUUUAGUCCCAUUCUGUGCUUCACCAAUUCCAGAGAAUCCGCUCACAGGUUGGCGAAUCUUCCCUGGCCUUCUCCUUAAUGCAUUAUUUGAUGAUGUCCACAGCCAUAUGAUUUGCUCUCUGUUCUCUCUAACAGACUGUCUCUGCUAGUGCAGCUUUUUAGUGGAGUGCAGGCAGCUGAGUUCUCCUCACGACUCCCAAUGACAGGAGGAGAACCCUUAAGGAGUUUGAACAGGGAAAGACUUUUGACCAGCACUGAUGCUGCUGCCAGAGGCAUUGUCAUCAACGGGGUGAAAUGUGUUGUGAACUACGAUGCACCACAGUUCUUCAGGACGUACAUAGCUUGAUCGUUACACCUGUAACUGCAUUGGCUAAAUUGUAUUUGUUGUUGUAGCUUUUAUAUGCAAUGAAUGUUAUUAGAUGUUCUGCCUUCCUGUGACAGUAUUUGUGUUGGAAAAGGGUUGGAAAGACUGCAAGAGCUGAAAAAGCUCUUACAAAACAAAAUAGUACACAAAGAGCAAUGGAGAUGAUGUGGAUGUGUGGCCAAGGCUGAAAUGAGAUCACUGCAGAAAACAAUAUUCUGAAAAACAGCUUUGCUCCUGUGUUAAAACAACACAUUUCACUGCACCUAUCUGGUGUAUGUGACAAUAAAACAUAUUUGAUUAAAUAAUACACUGAAAAAACGCAACAUGUAAAGGGUUGGUCCAAUGUUUCAUGAGCUGAAAUAAAAGAUCCCAAAAAUGUUCCAUACUCACAAAAAGCUUCAUUCUCUACAAUAUUGUGCACAAUUUUGUUAACAUCCCUGUCAUGUGAAAUCCAUAGAUUAGGGCCUAAUGAAUGUAUUUCUAUUUACUGAUUUCCUUUUAUGACUAACUCAAUCUUUGAAAAUGUUGCAUUUAUAUAUCAUUUUCUUCCGUGUAAAUGCUUUAGUUAAAGAUCAGAGUCCAUAAGGUACAGAAUGGCACGCAGUCUCAGGGUCACAGCAGGCAGAGUUCAAUAAUCCAUGGUGGUGUGACAAGGUACAGAACGGCAAGCAGAAUGGUCAAAACAGGAACUAUAUAAAGACAGGAGCAAGGGGAAAACCGCUGGUACAGUAGGCUUGACGAACUGGCAACAGACAGAACACAGGUAUAAAUACACUGGGGAUAAUGGGGAAGAUGGGCGACACCUGGAGGGGAGGGGGGUAGACGGGUGUGACAGUUCAUAAUGAAAUUAUCAAUUAAAAAACACUGCUGAGCAUUGGUAGCAGAGUUCACAUGACCCACUGUGUGAACAACGACCCAUUACAAAGUUAUAGUGCCAUCAUGUCCGUCUUGACGUGUGGUGGCUAGAGAUUUAAAAACUAAAAUCUAAUCUUAUGUCUGAUAAGAAAUCGCAGAAGGCCAAAAUGUCCUUUUAUCCUGUCAUCAGUAUAAACGGCACUGAUUUCCCAAAUGCAUUGAGAUAUUAGGAGAGAUUGUUCUCUCUGUUAUUGCUGACCUGAACUGCACAUGUUCUAGACACGCUUCAUGGUUACGUUGUGAGAACAUUCAUGUUUUCAGUUUUCUGAGGGUUAUGAGAAAAUUCCAUCAACAUCCCACCAAACAUGGUUGACAUGUUCCCAGAAUAUAAGAUAUCAAUGUUCUAGAUGGUAACGUUGCAAGAACUAAUGUGUCCAGUUUUCUGUGUGUUAGAAUAGUCCAACUUCACACAAAACAUACACAGAACAUGGUUGCCAUGUUCUCAGAACGUAAGAUAUUGUUCUAGACAUGUUUCAUGGGAACGUUGCAGGAACAUAUGUGUAUCAGUUGUCAGGAUGUGGCAUGAAGGUCCCAAAGAAACUCCCAAAAAAUGGUUUCAUAACACAUCACGCCUUGUUACUGUUGCCGAGCCAAUCAAGGCCUUAAUUGAUGAACCACUGAUCCAGUCACAGCUCUUUGUCUGCUGGCAAGGUUAGGGAUGCACACAGUGAUUUUAACAUAGUGUUUUCAACUUACAUACAUACUUCGUUCUUCCCUCUAAGCCACCAUGUCCAUUUCCGGUAUUGGUUAAUCUGACUAUUCUCAUCAUUGAUUUGAUUAAUGAGACAUUUAAGGGCUUUCAGUAUAGCUGUCUAAUGUUGGUGGGGAACGUUAAACUGUUUUAAUGAUACUAUUAUCAAUAAAAGUGUUUCUUGAGUGUA